UACAGAGGGUGCAAACGUUGUUCGGAAUUACUGGGCGUAAAGCGCGUGUAGGCGGCCUAGUGUGUCGGGCGUGAAAUCCCACGGCUCAACCGUGGAAGUGCACUCGAAACUGCAAGGCUGGAGUACUGGAGAGGAUGGUAGAAUGCUCGGUGUAGAGGUGAAAUUCGUAGAUAUCGAGCGGAAUACCGGUGGCGAAGGCGGCCAUCUGGACAGUAACUGACGCUGAGACGCGAAAGCGUGGGGAGCAAACAGG
rnacentral:rRNA from 1 species